CGACGCCGCGUGAACGAUGAAGGCCGUGAGGUUGUAAAGUUCUUUUCGGGAGGAGGAAUAAAGCUUGUAGGGAAUGACAGGCUGAUGACGUUAAUCUCGGUAAUAAGCCCCGGCUAACUACGUGCCAGCAGCCGCGGUAACACGUAGGGGGCAAGCGUUGUUCGGAAUUAUUGGGCGUAAAGGGCGUGCAGGCGGUCUUGCAAGUCUGACGUGAAAGAUCUCGGCUUAACCGAGGGAACGCGUUGGAAACUGUAAGACUUGAGUACAGAAGGGGACAUUGGAAUUCCAGGUGUAGGGGUGAAAUCUGUAGAUAUCUGGAAGAACACCGGUGGCGAAGGCGAAUGUCUGGUCAUGUACUGACGCUGAGACGCAAAGGUGCGGGGAGCAAACAGGUUUAGAUACCCUGGUAGUCCGCACAGUAAACGAUGUACACUAGGUGGCAGGUCAUGAGACUUGGUACCGAAGCUAACGCAUUAAGUGUACCGCCUGGGGAGUAUGCUCGCAAGGGUGAAACUCA
rnacentral:rRNA from 1 species